UACGGGGGGGGCAAGCGUUGUUCGGAAUUACUGGGCGUAAAGGGCUCGUAGGCGGCCAACUAAGUCAGACGUGAAAUUCCCGGGCUCAACCUGGGGGCUGCGUUUGAUACGUGCGGGCUUGAGUUCGGAAGAGGGUCGUGGAAUUCCCAGUGUAGAGGUGAAAUUCGUAGAUAUUGGGAAGAACACCGGUGGCGAAGGCGGCGACCUGGUCCGAUACUGACGCUGGGGCGCGAAAGCGUGGGGAGCAAACAGG
rnacentral:rRNA from 1 species